AUUGAACGCUGGCGGCAGGCCUAACACAUGCAAGUCGAGCGAGCGGCGGACGGGUGAGAAAUGUAUGGGGACUGCCCGAUAGAGGGGGAUAACUCCUGGAAACGGUAGCUAAUCCCGCAUACUAUCGGAUAACCCAUAUGGGAUUAGCUAGUAGGUGAGGUAAUGGCUCACCUAGGCGACGAUCCCUGGCUGGUCUGAGAGGAUGAUCAGCCACACUAGGAAUAAGACAGUGCCCAGAAUCCUACGGAGGCAGCAGUGGGGAAUAUUGCACAAUGGGCGAAAGCCUGAUGCAGCCAUGCCGCGUGUAUGAAGAAGGCCCUAGAGUUGUAAAGUACUUUCAGUCGGGAGGCGUUACCGACAGAAGAAGCACCGGCUAACUCCGUGCCAGCAGCCGCGGUAAUAC
rnacentral:rRNA from 1 species